rnacentral:rRNA from 1 species
ACCUUACCAGGUCUUGACAUCCUCUGACAACCCUAGAGAUAGGGCUUCUCCUUCGGGAGCAGAGUGACAGGUGGUGCAUGGUUGUCGUCAGCUCGUGUCGUGAGAUGUUGGGUUAAGUCCCGCAACGAGCGCAACCCUUGAUCUUAGUUGCCAUCAUUUAGUUGGGCACUCUAAGGUGACUGCCGGUGACAAACCGGAGGAAGGUGGGGAUGACGUCAAAUCAUCAUGCCCCUUAUGACCUGGGCUACACACGUGCUACAAUGGACGGUACAAAGAGCUGCAAGACCGCGAGGUGGAGCUAAUCUCAUAAAACCGUUCUCAGUUCGGAUUGUAGGCUGCAACUCGCCUACAUGAAGCUGGAAUCGCUAGUAAUCGCGGAUCAGCAUGCCGCGGUGAAUACGUUCCCGGGCCUUGUACACACCGCCCGUCACACCACGAGAGUUUGUAACACCCGAAGUCGGUGGGGUAACCUUUUUGGAGCCAGCCGCCUAAGGUGGGACAGAUGAUUGGGGUGAAG